AAUGUAAGCUGGGCAUGGAUCUUGCAUUUGUAAUACCUGUGAAACUACUAAUAUUCUAUCUACGUUGAAGAUGAACGAUAACAAUUACAUAAACAUCAAUGAUUUAUUGCAAUUUCUUUUGUAAAGAUUAUUGAUUAUACCAGUACCGCGGAUUGUCAAUGUAAGCUGGGCAUGGAUCUUGCAUUUGUAAUACCUGUGAAACUACUAAUAUUCUAUCUACGUUGAAGAUGAACGAUAACAAUUACAUAAACAUCAAUGAUUUAUUGCAAUUUCUUUUGUAAUGAUUAUUGAUUAUACCAGUACCGCGGAUUGUCAAUGUAAGCUGGGCAUGGAUCUUGCAUUUGUAAUACCUGUGAAACUACUAAUAUUCUAUCUACGUUGAAGAUGAACGAUAACAAUUACAUAAACAUCAAUGAUUUAUUGCAAUUUCUUUUGUAAUGAUUAUUGAUUAUACCAGUACCGCGGAUUGUCAAUGUAAGCUGGGCAUGGAUCUUGCAUUUGUAAUACCUGUGAAACUACUAAUAUUCUAUCUACGUUGAAGAUGAACGAUAACAAUUACAUAAACAUCAAUGAUUUAUUGCAAUUUCUUUUGUAAUGAUUAUUGAUUAUACCAGUACCGCGGAUUGUCAAUGUAAGCUGGGCAUGGAUCUUGCAUUUGUAAUACCUGUGAAACUACUAAUAUUCUAUCUACGUUGAAGAUGAACGAUAACAAUUACAUAAACAUCAAUGAUUUAUUGCAAUUUCUUUUGUAAUGAUUAUUGAUUAUACCAGUACCGCGGAUUGUCAAUGUAAGCUGGGCAUGGAUCUUGCAUUUGUAAUACCUGUGAAACUACUAAUAUUCUAUCUACGUUGAAGAUGAACGAUAACAAUUACAUAAACAUCAAUGAUUUUUUGCAAUUUCUUUUGUAAUGAUUAUUGAUUAUACCAGUACCGCGGAUUGUCAAUGUAAGCUGGGCAUGGAUCUUGCAUUUGUAAUACCUGUGAAACUACUAAUAUUCUAUCUACGUUGAAGAUGAACGAUAACAAUUACAUAAACAUCAAUGAUUUAUUGCAAUUUCUUUUGUAAUGAUUAUUGAUUAUACCAGUACCGCGGAUUGUCAAUGUAAGCUGGGCAUGGAUCUUGCAUUUGUAAUACCUGUGAAACUACUAAUAUUCUAUCUACGUUGAAGAUGAACGAUAACAAUUACAUAAACAUCAAUGAUUUAUUGCAAUUUCUUUUGUAAUGAUUAUUGAUUAUACCAGUACCGCGGAUUGUCAAUGUAAGCUGGGCAUGGAUCUUGCAUUUGUAAUACCUGUGAAACUACUAAUAUUCUAUCUACGUUGAAGAUGAACGAUAACAAUUACAUAAACAUCAAUGAUUUAUUGCAAUUUCUUUUGUAAUGAUUAUUGAUUAUACCAGUACCGCGGAUUGUCAAUGUAAGCUGGGCAUGGAUCUUGCAUUUGUAAUACCUGUGAAACUACUAAUAUUCUAUCUACGUUGAAGAUGAACGAUAACAAUUACAUAAACAUCAAUGAUUUUUUGCAAUUUCUUUUGUAAUGAUUAUUGAUUAUACCAGUACCGCGGAUUGUCAAUGUAAGCUGGGCAUGGAUCUUGCAUUUGUAAUACCUGUGAAACUACUAAUAUUCUAUCUACGUUGAAGAUGAACGAUAACAAUUACAUAAACAUCAAUGAUUUAUUGCAAUUUCUUUUGUAAUGAUUAUUGAUUAUACCAGUACCGCGGAUUGUCAAUGUAAGCUGGGCAUGGAUCUUGCAUUUGUAAUACCUGUGAAACUACUAAUAUUCUAUCUACGUUGAAGAUGAACGAUAACAAUUACAUAAACAUCAAUGAUUUUUUGCAAUUUCUUUUGUAAUGAUUAUUGAUUAUACCAGUACCGCGGAUUGUCAAUGUAAGCUGGGCAUGGAUCUUGCAUUUGUAAUACCUGUGAAACUACUAAUAUUCUAUCUACGUUGAAGAUGAACGAUAACAAUUACAUAAACAUCAAUGAUUUUUUGCAAUUUCUUUUGUAAUGAUUAUUGAUUAUACCAGUACCGCGGAUUGUCAAUGUAAGCUGGGCAUGGAUCUUGCAUUUGUAAUACCUGUGAAACUACUAAUAUUCUAUCUACGUUGAAGAUGAACGAUAACAAUUACAUAAACAUCAAUGAUUUAUUGCAAUUUCUUUUGUAAUGAUUAUUGAUUAUACCAGUACCGCGGAUUGUCAAUGUAAGCUGGGCAUGGAUCUUGCAUUUGUAAUACCUGUGAAACUACUAAUAUUCUAUCUACGUUGAAGAUGAACGAUAACAAUUACAUAAACAUCAAUGAUUUUUUGCAAUUUCUUUUGUAAUGAUUAUUGAUUAUACCAGUACCGCGGAUUGUCAAUGUAAGCUGGGCAUGGAUCUUGCAUUUGUAAUACCUGUGAAACUACUAAUAUUCUAUCUACGUUGAAGAUGAACGAUAACAAUUACAUAAACAUCAAUGAUUUUUUGCAAUUUCUUUUGUAAUGAUUAUUGAUUAUACCAGUACCGCGGAUUGUCAAUGUAAGCUGGGCAUGGAUCUUGCAUUUGUAAUACCUGUGAAACUACUAAUAUUCUAUCUACGUUGAAGAUGAACGAUAACAAUUACAUAAACAUCAAUGAUUUAUUGCAAUUUCUUUUGUAAUGAGUAGUG